rnacentral:piRNA from 1 species
UCCCUAGGAGUGGUGCUUGAGUGUGGGU